CACUUCCCAUGAGCCGGGUUGUGACAAAAACUCACACUCAUUCUUAUGUUUAAUAAAUGUAUUUUAUAGUUUGCGUGUGACAGGCUUACAAUGAUGACAAAAAACAACAUUUGAGAGUGCGCUGACCCUGGUGCUAGAGGGGGUACACUGCUGGAGGUUGCAUGUUUGAAGGGGUACGGGACUAUAAAAAGUUUGGGAACCACUGGUCUAAAAGAAAUGUGAGAUAAUGUCUAGAUGGUUUUUAUAGUGGAGAGUAAGUUCAUAAAGUGCCUGGCUGGACUGAUGAGACAGUGGAUUGUGUAGUCAGAUGAAACAGAGUAAAUAGGUAUUUUAACAUCAUAGAUUUCAGUGAGAUCAAGACAACUGAGAACUCUGAAAAAAAAGUUGGGAACAUGGGCCUCUUUCUAGAGCUCCAACCUGAAGACAACCAACGUCAUGAUUUAAUUUAUUUUUUGACCACCAAGUAUCGAUACCCUCUCCCAUUGUUGCCAUCAGCCAUCGAGCAGCUCCGCAGGGCCCGGUUCUUUACCAAACUGGACCUGCGGAGUGCUUACAAUCUCAUUUGCACCCAGGAGGGGAUGAGUGGAAGACGACAUUCAGCACGAUGUCUGGUCACUAUGAGUACUUGGUGAUGCCCUUUGGCUUAGCCAAUGCUCCGUCAGUGUUCCAGGCAUCUGUUAAUGAGGUGUUCAGGGACUUGCUCAGACACCAUGUGGUCAUGUACAUCGAUGACACCCUGAUCUACUCGGCUACCCUGGAGGAUCACUUCACUCACGUUCGAGCAGUCCUGGAACUCUUCCUGGCUAGCCAUCUGUUCGUCAAGGUAGAGAAGUGCCAAUUCCACCAGAGGUCGGUAUCCUUCUUAGGUUACCAAAUCAGCCCGCAGGGUGUGAAGAUGGAAGACAAGAAGGUAGAUGAAGUCAGGUCAUGGCCAGUCCCAACCACCAUAAAUGGGUUACAACAGUUUUUGGGGUUUUCCAACUUCUAACGCCGCUUCAUCAGGAACUUCAGCUCUGUCGCUGCUCCUCUCACCUCUCUCCUUAAGGCCCCCAUAGGUUGGUGUGGAGCCCAGCAGCCAACGAGGCCUUCUGUCUCCUUAAGGGACGUUUCACCUCCGCCCCACUGCUCAAACAUCCAGAUCCCACGAGAUCCUUUGUGGUGGAGGUGGAUGCUUCAGAGGUAGGCGAAGGGGCAGUUAUGUCUCAACGACAGGGUAUUCCACUGAAAUUGUACCUCUGUGCUUUUUCUCUAAGAAACUGUCGCCUGCAGAUAGGAAUUACGGUGUCGGGGAUCGGAAGCUCCGGGUGAUGAAGUUGGCAUUAUAGGAGUGGAGACACUGGCUGGACGGGCGCCAAUGAACCAUUCGUCAUUCUCACAGACCAUCGGAACCUGGAGUACAUAUGGACAGCAAGGAGACUGAAUCCGCACCAAGCAAGGUCACUUAGGCACUCUUCUAGCAGGUGUUCCGGCACUAUAGCCUUCCGGAGGACAUCGUCUCCGACUGUGGCCCCGAAUUCACAUCACAAGUAUGGAGGGUCUUUAUGGAGAAGCUCGGGGUCACGGUCAGCCUCACUUCCGGGUACCGGCCUCAGUCAAACGGGCAGGUGGAGAGGAUGAACCAGGAGCUGGGGAGGUUCCUGAGGAGUCAAUGUCAGGACCGGCAGGGUGAGUGGAGACGAUUCCCUCCAUGGGCAGAGUACACCCAGGACUCACUACCUCACUCCUCCACUGGGUUGACCCCCUUCCAGUGUGUUUUGGGUUUUCAGCUGGCCCUGGCUCUGUGGACUCAAGACCAGACCGAAACUCCUGCAGUUGUUGGGGGGUUCCGGCCCGCAGAAGAACUGUGGAGCGACGCUCACGUAAGUCUGCAGCACGCCGUCCAGCUUUAAAAGGAACAGGCAGACCACCACCGCAGUGAGACCCCUGUGUUUCAUCCUGGGGAUUGCGUCUGGCUUUCUACCAGGAACCUCCCACUCCGCCUGCUCUGCAGAGAAACUGAGCCCCCGGUUUGUGGGGCCGUUCAAGGUUCUCUGGAGGGUCAACGAGGUGACGUAUAGAUUAUAGCUUCCCAGUCACUAUCGCAUCUCACCCGCUUUUCCUGUCUCUCCUCAGGCCGGUGGUUCCUGGUCCCCUAGCUGAUGCUGUCCCCUCACUCCCCCUGGACAUCGAGGGGAGUCAGGCGUAUGCUGUCAGAUCCUUACUGGACUCCCGGCGUCAUGGGGGUCGGCUCCAGUACCUGGUGGACUGGGAGGGGUACGGCCCAGACGAGCGGUGUUAGGUUUCGGUUGAGGACAUUCUGGAUCCCAACAUCAUCCAUGAUUUCCACCUUCGCCACCCGGACCACGUCAGGGGGGGGGUACUGUCACGUCUACUCCUGCUCCUCCACUCCGGCGUUCGACGUUGCCGGACUACUAACCACCGGUCCUGGGAUUCAUCAUUACACACACCUGUUUAUCAUUAUGAUUCACACCUGGACUCAUGACCAUCCUCAUUACCUCACAUUCAUCUGCCCCUCUCUUACGUUUGUUCCUCAGUCGCUAUUGUUCCUAUGCUUUUUCGCCACUGUGAUGUUCUCGUUUCAUGUUUAUUGUUUUAUUAAACGUUUCGCCUGCACCUGCUUCUCGACUCACAGCAUCUCCGUUACAAUAGAAAUUAUGGAUUGCCUCUUAUCCGCUCAUUCCCUUAUGCCAUAGUUUUAAAUCUCAAUUGUCAGUAGAAACCACGUUUGUUUAACCAAGUCAGCCAUAUCAGCUACAGUGGUUCUUCUUUUAAAAGUUGCGUUAUACUGCAGCACACCUUGCGGGCUGCCGCAGAAUUCAAUGGCACGUUAUUUCAGUGUCAGCCAUUGUUGCCAGUAAUGCUAGUUAGUGCAGAGGGCAUCUUUGAGAAGCAUUUGACAGUUUUUAAUAUUGGCUGUACUAGAGAAUUUAAAACCUUUUUUGUAAGAUUGAUUUUAAGAAAUGUAGCUUAAUUAAUUUGUUUCAACGUGAACGGUUGGGAGUAGGCUAGUAAGAGCAAAAUAAUCCUAACAUUUCCACCCCAUAAUUGUAGGCUAACCAAUACCCAAACAGAGAUUCAGGGAAAAUAAAAAUCUCAUUGAUUUAUCAAGACCAGUCCCCAUGCUUGUCCCAGAGCAGCACGAAACGGUGCUGAAAUAGUUGACCACACUUGGGUAGGCUAUUGCUUCAAAUCUGAUUGUAUCAAUUGGAUGACUCUUGGUGUUCCAGUAAGCAACAAUUUGUUGCCUUCAUUAGCCUACUUUAUUGUGAUAAAUGUAUGUGUAUCUCUUCCAAGCCUACAAGCAAGAAACUGACGACAAAACAAUGCAACAAAUAUAUUGAUCACCUCAGCAAGGUUUUACCCGUGGUGGUGGAGCUGGGGGGAAGAGCAACUAAAAUGUAGCAUAGAUGUACUGUACAGUAGUUGAAAUAAACAUCAGCAUUUUGGAAGUCUUUUUUUUAUUAUUAUUUUAUUAACGAAAGCAAAAAGAUGUUGAUGAACAGAUACUGUGUAAAAACUUUAGAGUACAUAAGCAUUGAAUACAUUGCAAAUAUGGGGGAUUUUCACACCUACAGCAGCCGGGCUAUUAAACCAAUCGAUGGAUAACAGAUCGGCUCUCGGGGACUCAUUAACACGUGUUACUGUGUGUGUUUGUUUGUGUGUGUUUCGAUUCUCUCUCUCUCUCUCUACUCACUCACUAACUCACUCACACACUCACACGCACUUGCUGUCUUGACCUCUAAAUGCUUGGCUAUGAAAAGCCGACUGACAUUUACUCCUAAGGUGUUGACCGGUUGCACCCUCUAUAACCACUGCUCAUAUUAUUUGACCCUGCUGGUCAUCUAUGAAUGUUUGAACAGCUUGAAAAAUGAUCUAGCCAUUAUGUCCAUGUACUCUUACAAUCUCCAACCAGUUUGGAUUUAAGUGUAACUUUUGUUUGACUGACGCCUUUAGUGAGAGGUCUAAUGCUUUGAUAUUUAAACAUUUCUGCCCUCCGAUUUCAUAUUCAUUAUAUAAAUAGUCCCAUGUGCACCUUCAUCAGAUCAACCGCAACAUGUCGGCUAAAGUAAUUUAAUUCAUGAAUGCAUUAGAUAUUCUGUGUUUUUAUUUAUAGUAGUGGACAGCUGGAGGCCUUUAUUUUUCACAAGCGUGGUUUUAGAGUUCUUAAGCAUCUAGUCAGAUAGAGAGCCCUAUCAGUAAGGCAAUACAGAGUGAAGUAGGAAACGUUGCUAUGUGGAGACAAUCAUGAUAAUAAAAAAUGCAUUAGCCGUUGGAAAAAAAA